UUUUCAAAUUUAAUCUACAUCUAAAACGUAUGCAACUAACAAUACAGGCAGACGUAUAAUUAGUUGAAAGAAUCUACAUUUACUUAAAUUUAAAAGCUUAAAUUGUUUUUGUGUAAUCAAUUAUUUAAAUUAUAUAAAAGGAUUUCCUGGGCUUCGAUAACAAUUUAUAUCUUAUUUUAAAUCUUUAUGUAGAACAUUUUUGUCAAUCCUUUGAUGUCAUUCUAUGAGUCAGGCCGACAGUGAAUUGGCAACCGCAAACAAAAAGAAAUUCCCCCAAAACAGCUGUUUUUAACAACUGACCAAAUGAACGUUGAGUUGACUGAAAGUUGCUGAUUAUGGUUAUAAUUGAUUUAAAAAGUGCAUUAAUGAACUAUUUUAUGUCUGAAAGUGAAUAAAGUGUAGUGAAAAAUUUGCGGUACAAUCAUUUAAAACUGGUGAGGGUUAAAUUUAAAGCGUCUAAUUAGAAAAAGAGUAAUGACAGAAAAUGGAGUCCGGAAACUCGCCGCAGCGAAUGUUACGUCACAGCAUCGCCGUCACGCCAGAAUCAUCUCCAGGACGACGCAGAUCGUCGUUCUUGCACCUCCACAUUCCAGAGACGAAUUGGCGAGGUUCCCUGUCGCACCUCCAUUUACCCACGUUUUCUCUGACCACUCCGGAUGGAGAACAGAGCCUCACCAGCAAAUUUACCUUCGGUCUGGGUAUCAGAAGGCAUUCUCAUAAUACGCUGCAUCGUUCUGAGUCCAUGGUAUCACUCUGCUUUCGAUCCCUGACAGGUUUUAUAAACGAUGACAAUUUACGGGGAUUGCAGUCAUUUCUGGAAAGCAGACAGGCACAGGUCGAUGAUAAAGAUGAGAACGGAACCACAGCCCUCAUGGUGGCUGCGGCCAAAGGCAAAUCCACGAUGGUUCGAGAAUUGUUGACGCAUGGAGCUGAUCCCAAUCUAGAGGACAACGAUUCGUGGACGGCACUGUUGUGUGCUGCCAAAGAAGGACACACCGACAUAGUUCUUCAAUUACUAGAUCACAAUGCAGCUAUUGAUCAUAGAGAUAUUGGUGGUUGGUCGGCUCUCAUGUGGGCGACAUACAAAGGUCGCGUGGAUACCGGCCUGAUCCUAGUAGACCGAGGUGCGGACGUUAACGCUCAUGGAAAUUUUCACGUGUCUUCGUUACUAUGGGCUUCCGGUAGAGGCUACACAGAUAUCGUAGAGUGUCUUUUGCAACGAAAUGCUAAAGUAAACGUAGGAGACAAAUAUGGUACGACAGCGUUGGUCUGGGCGAGUCGUAAAGGAUAUACGGAAAUAGUGGAAUUGUUAUUAAAAGCUGGUGCUAAUGUGGAUACAGCUGGUAUGUACUCGUGGACAGCUCUACUCGUAGCUACAUAUGGAAACCACGUCGAUGUGGUUAAUCUACUUCUUGAACACAAGCCAAAUGUUAACGCGCUAGACAAGGAUGGAUGCAGUCCGUUAACUAUUGCUUGCAAAGAAGGAUUUUAUGAGAUAGCCACGGCGUUGAUGGCAGCUGGUGCUUAUAUUAAUAUUCAAGAUCGAUCUGGUGACACAAACCUAAUCCACGCGGUCAAGGGUGGCCACCGAGGAGUUGUGGAAGUUCUUCUAAAGAAAUACGCCGACGUAGACAUCCUCGGUAAAGACCGCAAGACCGCCAUCUACGUAGCGGUUGAAAAAGGCAACUUGAACGUGCUCAAACUUCUUCUAACCUGCAACCCAGACCUGGAAUUGGCCACGAAAGACGGCGAUACUCCUCUCCUGAAGGCGGUACGGUCUCGAAACUCCGAAAUAGUGCAAUUGUUAGUCGAUAAGAAAGCCAAAGUUUCAGCAGCGGAUAAGAAAGGAGAUACGGCUCUACACGUAGCGAUGAGAGCUAGGUCGAAAGCCAUCGUGGAGAUAUUGUUGAGGAAUCCGAAGAAUAGCCAGCUUUUGUAUAGACCGAAUAGAUCGGGGGAGACUCCCUAUAACAUCGAUGUGAAUCACCAGAAGACGAUUUUAGGACAAAUUUUUGGUGCAAGGAGAUUAAAUACAAAUGAAGACAACGAAAAUAUGUUAGGUUAUGAUCUGUAUAGUAGUGCGUUAGCUGACAUAUUAAGCGAACCUUCCCUUUCCAUGCCCAUAAUGGUAGGCCUCUAUGCCAAGUGGGGUAGCGGAAAGUCAUUUCUGCUCAGUAAACUUAGAGAUGAAAUGAAGAAUUUUGCCCGUGAAUGGGUGGAUCCCGUCUUCCAGUUUUCCACAUUGCUCUUUCUUGUUAUUGCACAUAUUUCCAUAGUUAUAGCUAUAGUUUUAGGCCUUUCCUUUCAAUCAUGGGAAGUAGGGUUAUCUGUUAGUGCCGGCGUUAUAAUUUUAUGUUACGUAAUACUCGCCAAUAUUUGGAUCGCUAGUAAAAAGUACGACUGGGAUUGGGCCUACAAUUUCAACGUUCAACUCACUAGAAAAAUGAACAAUCUCAGACUCAUGUUGCAAAUUCUCUUUUGCCAUCCUCCUGGUGCCACACACGACGGACUUGCCGUUCAACCAAUCAGAUUUUUCUUCACUGAUCAAACUAGAGUAAGCAGUACAGCCGGCGGUGAAAACUCAGUAGUUCAAAUGAUCGGUUCUCUUUACGAUGCUAUUGAAAGUCGCUAUGGAUCAGUCGCUACUAGAUUGUACAGAGCAUUCAAACCUAAACCAGUGAAAAGUGCGUCGAGUUGGACAUAUAGAAAAGUAUGUUGUUUACCAUACGUCGUCUUCUUCGAAGUGACGUUAUUAAUGUUAUUAACUGGAACGUGUGCCUUGACUAUAUACCUUAUCCAUGUUAGUGCGACAGCUACCGUUACUGACAUCAAUGAAUUUACGCUAAAAAUGAUUCUGGUUGUUGCCGCCUUGCUGCUCGGCGUCGCAUGCCUAGCCAAUAUGUAUACCUGGAGUAGGAUGUUGAAAGCUUUACUUUUUUCCCAAAGGAGACACCUCCAAAGGUCUAUAUCUAAGUUGGAAACAUUGAAGUCUGAGGGAUUUUUGCAAACACUUAGACAAGAGGUUAAUUUAAUGAAAGACAUGGUAAAAUGUUUAGACAGUUUGAGCAGUCAACAAACCAGACUCGUAGUGGUAGUGGACGGACUCGAUAGUUGUGAGCAAGAUAAGGUGCUGCUUGUUUUAGAUACUGUACAUAUGCUUUUUUCCGACGCGAACACCCCGUUCAUUGUGAUAUUAGCCAUAGAUCCACAUGUUAUUGCCAAGGCUGUAGAAGUCAAUACUAGAAGACUAUUUAGUGAGAAUAAUAUCGGAGGGCACAAUUAUCUAAGCAAUAUGGUACAUCUACCCUUCUAUCUACAAAAUUCCGGUUUGAGAAAAGUGAAAGUUGCCCAGCAGACUGCGCUUGCGCAUAGGAAACAAGUCGGAAAUUGGACCGAGAACGAUGAGAAUCUCAACAGUUUUCUGGCUCGAUCGGCAUCGAGCAGACGAUUGUCCAACGAAAAAGCUUUGAUGUCCAGUACAGAAAAUCUAGGAAAGUUCCCCGGAAGAAAAGGGUCGAGGAAACUAAAAAUGUCCGAAUCUGUAGCAAGUUCGAUCGGUUCCAAUCUGAAUCGGAUAGGUGGCGCUCAGGAUCUUACUAAGAUGUUACUUACUGAUGACUAUUUCAGCGAUGUGAACCCACGUUCGAUGAGAAGACUGAUGAAUGUUGUGUAUGUUUCAGGCCGAUUACUUAAAUCAUUCCAAAUAGAUUUUAACUGGUAUCGAUUAGCUUCGUGGAUCAAUAUUACAGAGCAAUGGCCAUUUAGGACUUCCUGGAUCAUUCACCAUUUUGAUAUGUACGAAGAUUCUUUAGACGACAAUACAUCCUUGAAGUCAAUUUACGAUAAAAUACGCCCACAUAUUCCAAUUGUCAAAGACACUGAGCCACUUCUAGAAUUAGACAGAGACGAAAGAAAAUUUGACAUAUUUUUAAGUUACCACAGGUCAAGUCUUCUUGUCAGUGAUCUCAAAAUAUUCCUGCCAUUCACUAUCAACUUGGAUCCAUAUUUAAAGAAGGUUAUCAAAGAAGAAACUCAAAGUUUAGAAGACGACGGGCUCGUCAUGGGUUCCAUCAAGAACUCCAUGUCAGGAAACCACAGCAUGAGCAGUUGGAACAACUCAGAAUGGGUAUCUCCACGAACGAAUCUCUCGCGAAGAAUGAGAACAACGCCGAAACCUCAAAUGACGCCAAUGACUCAUCAUGGUACUCCUCAAACUUCAAUGAUGGGCCAGCCGAUGCAACAGAUGACUCCUUCUAUGUCCAGCUGGUCACAACCUUGGAACGAUUCUAUGGUUUAUAGACCGCCUAUGCCGUUGGCACCUUUAACUGUCGCUGAGCCCGAAAUUUUGGACAUAAAACUUUCAACGCUUAACGUAGAUGGCGUUACGAAGCUGUUAUCCAACAUGAGUGAUCUGAACACCAGUGCUGUAGGAGAUUAUACCAAGACUAUUAAGGAUAACAACAUAAACGGAAGGGUGCUGUUACAUUGUGAUUUAGAGGAACUUAAAAAGUUACUCAAGAUGAAUUUUGGCGAUUGGGAAAUGUUCAAAGUCAUGCUUGUUAUCUUAAGAGAACAAGAAAUUACCAGUGUAUUACAUCAAGAGGAAAUAAAACCAUUUAGAAUAAUUCCAAAAGUUGAAAGAAAAAAUAGCAAUAAAUCUAUAAACACAAGUGAGAAAGAAAAGGUACCAGAAGAUGGACAACAAAGACCACAAAGAAAACAAAGUAUUAUAGAAAAACAGGUGACUUUGGAAGAUCAGAUGAUCUGCGGCGCCCUCCAAACCUUAAACGAAGAAGCCUGCGAAGACGUGAUGGAGGAAACAGAAGACACCAAAAUAACCAUCGAGCCCGACGUGCCACAAACGUCCGUGAUUCCGCCCAGUCCAGACCAGAAUCAAGGUGAAUUUCGAAACGCAAUGACACCACCACCUAGUUCACUUAUCAUACCAUUGGUCAAAGAACCCUCAAGGCAGACAUCCUCAUUUAAUAACAUAGAUUUCCCCUCCAGAGGUUACCGUUCUCGUACCAACAGUACUAGCGGCAUAGGUGAGACAGAUUUUAUUUUGUUGCAAUCCUCGCCUGUAGGUCACAUGCAUUGGCAACCUAUCAGUAUCGGCGUUGCCGGUAAUUCGGAAAGUUUGAGCGAUCAUAGCUCGAGGUGCAGUUCUCAACCACCUUCUCCAGUUCCAGAAAGAAAAAUAUCCGUAGGCAGUAUGGGCAAAUAUUCAAAUUUAAAGUCCAGUUCCAGUGAAAAUUCAUCAAAAGGCCGCCACGUGGUCAUCAAAACUGAGUUGCCAGAGACUAAUCCUCGAAUAUGUAUUAGCACCACGAAGGCAUCAGUCUCAUACGAAACUCCACUUUUACAAGAACACAAGACAACUGCUUCACAGACAAAACAACGACCAAGCUCCUUGAAUUUCCACAAAGGAGAAAGACGGCUUAGAACUCGAUCUAAGUCUAUAGAUAAUAGUCCUAAAGGAGAAAAGAGAGAAAACAAGAUUAACCUUGAUACAUUACAUAGGUUAAAAGAGAAAUUGUUACAUUCUAGUCCAGACUUAAACGAGACCAGUGAUAACGAGAGCACACCUCUAGUAUCAGAAGUUUCUACACCAUCUAAAUCUGGACACAGUUCAGAGAUAAAAACACCCAGUUCUAGAAGUUAUCCCCUCUCGCCAGUGUCACAGAAGAGUUUAUCACCAGAAAAAGCACCUAAGGUUACUAGAAGCGAGCAAAAUCUUACAGACGCUACCGAAUUGAGUCAAAAUAACGUAUUUUCUGAAGGAUUUUCUGAAGGAAUGGGUGAUCAAAGCAAUAAUUACGUUGAAAGACGUAGAACAAUAUCAGACGAUAUAGGUAGCUCAGUUUCCUUGUACUUAGGUUCUAUUGAACGAAGUUGUAGUAAUUUUAGCGUACCUAGCUCCCAAAGUUCCGGUCGUUUGUCCAGACAGGACAACGUAGAAUCCCAGGAGAAUUUGACAGAUAUUUAUUGUGAUCCAGGUAGUAAGAACGAUUGAUCGGCAAGUUACUUAACUUUUGUGCUCCUUGUACUUAGCCAUCUCAAAGAAUUACAGUAUUUUUAGCAUAAGCAGAGUACUUUUGUUUACCAAAUGUUGUGAUUGCAAAUGUUAAUAUUAUGUAUCUGUACUUAUGUAUAAAAAAAUAUAUUUUGAAUGACCAAAAUAAAUUGUUGUCUUUA
rnacentral:misc_RNA from 1 species